GACACUUUGGCCGAGUGGUUAAGGCGCAGGCCUGCUAUACCGAUUUCGCCGUAUCAGCUUCCUAGCCUGUGGGUUCGCCCUCCUGGGUUCGAAUCCCAGAGGUGUCG